ensembl:snRNA U2 U2 spliceosomal RNA
AUUGCUUCUUGGCCUUUUGGCUAAGAUCAAGUGUAGAAUGUUAUACUACUACAAUUUUAAUGAUCUAUGAUUACUUUAA